rnacentral:snRNA from 1 species
GGAUGUGAAGGUGAUCUGGCUACAACAUCUGUCACCCCAUUGAUCGCCAUUGAUUCAGCUGAUCUGGUUGGCUAGGUGGGUGUCACCUUUCUCCCUCAACGAUACAUUGUGCAUCCUUCCCGAAGCUGUGCACUCGGUCAAAGACGACCACCACCCCCAAUAGAGGAGGACCAUUCCUUGAUCAAGGGUAUAGGAGUAGCUGCGUGCUGCCUGCUAGAACCUCCAAACAAGCUCUCACGAACACAUUGUCAAAGUUAGACCUGAUCUCAAUAUUAAAGAAAAGGGAUUCAGUACAUUUCUCAGAAAAUUAAAUU